rnacentral:rRNA from 1 species
UACGUAGGGUGCAAGCGUUAAUCGGAAUUACUGGGCGUAAAGCGUGCGCAGGCGGUGAUGUAAGACAGGUGUGAAAUCCCCGGGCUUAACCUGGGAACUGCAUUUGUGACUGCAUCGCUGGAGUGCGGCAGAGGGGGAUGGAAUUCCGCGUGUAGCAGUGAAAUGCGUAGAUAUGCGGAGGAACACCGAUGGCGAAGGCAAUCCCCUGGGCCUGCACUGACGCUCAUGCACGAAGGCGUGGGGAGCAAACAGG